rnacentral:rRNA from 1 species
ACGAACGCUGGCGGCGUGCUUAACACAUGCAAGUCGAACGGAAAGGCCCUGCUUUUGUGGGGUGCUCGAGUGGCGAACGGGUGAGUAACACGUGAGUAACCUGCCCUUGACUUUGGGAUAACUUCAGGAAACUGGGGCUAAUACCGGAUAGGAGCUCCUGCUGCAUGGUGGGGGUUGGAAAGUUUCGGCGGUUGGGGAUGGACUCGCGGCUUAUCAGCUUGUUGGUGGGGUAGUGGCUUACCAAGGCUUUGACGGGUAGCCGGCCUGAGAGGGUGACCGGCCACAUUGGGACUGAGAUACGGCCCAGACUCCUACGGGAGGCAGCAGUGGGGAAUAUUGCACAAUGGGCGGAAGCCUGAUGCAGCAACGCCGCGUGCGGGAUGACGGCCUUCGGGUUGUAAACCGCUUUCGCCUGUGACGAAGCGUGAGUGACGGUAAUGGGUAAAGAAGCGCCGGUUAACUACGUG